UUCCGCAGCGGCCGAGGAUGGAGCCUGCCGGUAUGGAUUAUUUCUGCGACCAGGUGCAGCAGAAGGACGUGGGCCGCAGGAUGCAGGUCGGCCAGGAGCUGCUGGAGUACCUGAGCGACCCGGCGAGGUCCCCCGAUCUGGAGCAGGACCAGCAGCGCCUCGACAAAGUGAUCGACGAAUUGACAGGAUGGGUCAACUCCAGUAAUUUUAAGGUAGCAUUACUGGGAUUAGAUGUUUUAGGUGCCUUUGUUGACAGACUAUCAGGACGCUUUAAAUCCUAUAUAGGAACUGUUCUCCUGCCUUUGAUAGAUCGUAUGGGAGAUGCCAAAGACCAAGUUCGAGAGCAAGCACAGAACCUUAUAUUGAAAUUGAUGGACGAAGCAGCACCGCCCAUGUACAUUUGGGAACGCCUUGCUGUUGGUUUUAAACACAAGAAUUACCGAUCCCGAGAAGGAGUGUGUUUGUGUCUUAUUGCUACCUUAAACAAUUAUGGUGCACAACCAUUAGUCCUCAGCAAGUUGGUACCGCAUCUGUGUACAGCAUUUGGCGACUCGAAUAGUCAGGUGAGAGAUGCUGCAAUACUAACCAUUGUGGAGGUUUACAGACAUGUGGGAGAGAAAGUACGAAUAGAUCUUACAAAGAGAGGAAUUCCUCCUGGAAGGUUGCAAACAAUCUUUGCAAAAUUUGAUGAAGUAAGAAACUCUGGAAAUAUGAUUUUAAGUAACGUCAGUGACAAAAGCUUUGAUGAUGAAGAGUCAGUGGAUGGAAAUAGGCCAUCAUCAGCUGCUUCAGCCUUCAAGGUUCCGGCACCUAAAAAGCCAGGAAAUCCUUCAAACAGUGCAAGAAAGCCAGGAUCAGCUGGUGGGCCUAAGGUUGGAGGUUCCUCUAAAGAAGGAGGAGCUGGAGCCGUGGAUGAGGAUGAUUUUAUUAAGGCAUUUACAGAUGUUCCUACUGUACAGAUCUAUUCUAGUCGAGAACUUGAAGAAACGUUGAACAAAAUCAGGGAAAUACUCUCAGAUGACAAACAUGAUUGGGAUCAACGAACUAAUGCGCUGAAGAAAGUUCGGUCAUUGCUUGUUGCUGGAGCUGCACAGUACGAUGGAUUUUUCCAGCAUUUACGGUUGUUGGAUGGCGCUUUCAAGCUGUCGGCCAAGGAUCUCAGAUCCCAGGUGGUUAGAGAAGCAUGCAUUACUGUAGCCCAUCUUUCAACUGUUUUGGGAAACAAGUUUGAUCAUGGCGCUGAAGCUAUUGUGCCUACUCUUUUUAAUCUGGUUCCCAACAGCGCCAAAGUGAUGGCAACUUCUGGGUGCGCAGCCAUUAGAUUCAUUAUUCGGCAUACCCAUGUGCCACGACUCAUACCUUUAAUAACAAGCAACUGUACUUCAAAAUCUGUUGCAGUUAGGAGGCGCUCCUUUGAAUUUUUAGACCUGUUGUUACAAGAGUGGCAGACACAUUCGUUGGAAAGGCAUGCAGCUGUCUUGGUUGAAACAAUCAAGAAGGGCAUUCAUGAUGCUGAUGCAGAAGCAAGAGUGGAGGCAAGAAAGGCUUAUCUGGGUCUUAGAAAUCACUUUCCUAGUGAAGCUGAGACUCUCUACAAUUCUCUUGAGCCACCCUAUCAAAGAAGCCUCCAGACCUACUUGAAGAAUUCUGGCAGUAUAGCAUCUCUCCCUCAGUCAGACAGGUCAUCCUCCAGCUCACAGGAGAGCCUCAAUCGGCCUCUAUCUUCUAAAUGGUCUGCAGCCAGCCCAGCAAGCCUUGCAGGCAGAGUUUCAGGCAGCAGCAAGAGUGUUCCAAGCCCAGGAACUCUGCAAAGGUCUCGCAGCGACAUUGAUGUUAAUGCUGCCGCGGGUGCAAAGGCCCGCCAUGCUGCUGGACAGACAGCUGGAGCUGGGCGCUUGUCCACAGCUGGUCUACCUCCAGGCUCUUACGCUUCGCUAGAGGAUACUUCUGACAAGAUGGAUGGUCGUGUACGAACAAAGCUUUCAACGCCUUCUGUUGGUAUUGGAAAUUCUAAAACAGAUUCCAGAGGACGGAGUAGAACCAAAGUGGUGUCACAGUCUCAGCCUGGCAGUAGAUCUGGGUCUCCUGGAAGAGUUUUGACAACAACCACACUUUCCACUAUGAACACAGGAGUUCAGAGAGUGUUAGUGAAUCCUGCAACUGCACAAAAAAGAAGCAAAAUCCCACGAAGUCAGGGAUGCAGUAGAGAAGCUAGUCCUUCUAGACUGUCAGUAGCACGAGGCAGCCGCAUUCCUCGGCCUAGUGUGAGUCAGGGGUGCAGUCGGGAGGCCAGCCGUGAAAGUAGCAGGGACACAAGCCCUGUCCGCUCUUUUGCACCCCUUGGUACCGGCUUUGGAAUUAGUCAGUCAAGUAGAUUGUCAUCAUCAGUUAGUGCUAUGCGAGUUCUGAACACAGGUUCUGACGUGGAAGAGGCAGUAGCAGAUGCUUUGAAGAAGCCCGUGCGAAGAAGAUAUGAGUCCUAUGGGAUGUACUCAGAUGAUGAUGCCAACAGUGAUGCAUCAAGUGCCUGUUCAGAAAGGUCCUAUAGCUCUAGGAAUGGAAGCAUACCAACGUACAUGAGGCAGACAGAAGAUGUGGCUGAAGUCCUAAAUCGUUGUGCUAGCUCCAACUGGUCAGAGAGAAAAGAAGGCCUUCUAGGCCUGCAAAACUUACUAAAAAACCAGAGAACUUUAAGUCGUGUUGAGUUGAAAAGGUUGUGUGAAAUCUUCACAAGAAUGUUUGCUGAUCCUCACAGUAAGAGAGUGUUCAGUAUGUUUUUGGAGACACUGGUGGACUUCAUCCAGGUCCAUAAAGAAGAUCUGCAGGACUGGUUGUUUGUACUGUUGACACAGCUGUUGAAAAAAAUGGGUGCUGAUUUGCUUGGGUCUGUACAAGCAAAAGUUCAGAAGGCACUUGAUGUCACAAGGGAAUCUUUUCCAAAUGACCUCCAGUUCAGUAUUUUAAUGAGGUUUACUGUUGACCAGACCCAAACACCUAGCCUGAAGACAGUCAAGCCAGCACUACAGGACCAGCUUCGCUCUUUUUGGAGCUCAAAGGUCAAAGUUGCAAUCCUUAAAUACAUAGAGACUCUUGCUCAACAGAUGGAUCCAGGAGAUUUUGUAAAUUCAAGUGAAACUAGGUUAGCAGUGUCUCGAAUCAUCACCUGGACCACAGAACCUAAAAGCUCAGAUGUUAGGAAGGCUGCACAGUCAGUGCUGAUUUCCCUUUUUGAACUCAACACUCCAGAGUUUACAAUGCUAUUGGGUGCUUUACCAAAAACAUUUCAGGAUGGAGCCACGAAGCUUCUCCAUAAUCAUCUCCGGAAUACAGGCAACAGUGGUCAGGGAUCAAUGGGAAGUCCUUUAACAAGACCUACUCCACGUUCCCCAGCAAGUUGGUCAAGUCCCCUCACUUCCCCAACCAAUACAUCGCAGAACACAUUGUCACCAAGUGCAUUUGACUAUGACACUGAAAAUAUGAAUUCUGAAGAUAUUUACAGCUCUCUUCGUGGAGUCACUGAAGCCAUUCAGAAUUUCAGUUUUCGUAGUCAGGAAGAUAUGAACGAGCCUGUAAAACGAGAUUCCAAAAAAGAUGAUGGUGAUUCGAUUUGCAGCGCUUCUGGAAUAGUAGACCUACGAGCAGGAAGUGGUGUGAGCGACACAGGCCGAACAGCUCUUGAUAACAAAACAUCAUUACUCAACACAAUGCCUCCCCACUCUUCACCACGUUCACGAGAUUAUAACCCAUACAAUUAUUCGGAUGGUAUCAGUUCAUUUAAUAAAUCUGCUUUGAAAGAAGCCAUGUUUGAUGAUGAUGCAGAGCAAUUUCCUGAUGAGCCUCCCAUGGACCAUUCUGAUCUGGUUGCAGAGUUACUGAAAGAGUUAUCAAACCAUAAUGAGAGAGUUGAGGAAAGAAAGGCUGCCCUGUACGAGCUCAUGAAGUUAACUCAGGAAGAGUCUUUCGGUGUUUGGGAUGAGCACUUCAAAACAAUACUACUUUUGCUGCUUGAAACACUUGGAGAUAAAGAGCAUGCAAUUAGAGCUUUGGCAUUGAAAGUUCUAAGAGAAAUUCUAAGAAACCAGCCAGCAAGGUUUAAGAACUACGCAGAGCUCACAAUCAUGAAGACAUUAGAAGCGCAUAAGGAUCCUCAUAAGGAGGUGGUGAGAUCUGCUGAAGAAGCUGCUUCCAUGCUGGCCACUUCCAUUAGCCCAGAUCAGUGCAUCAAAGUUCUUUGUCCAAUUAUCCAAACUGCAGAUUACCCCAUUAAUCUGGCUGCAAUCAAAAUGCAAACAAAAGUCAUAGAAAGAGUAUCUAAAGAAACCCUUACUCAGCUUUUACCAGAGAUUGUGCCAGGUCUAAUACAGGGUUAUGAUAAUUCAGAGAGCAGUGUUCGUAAGGCAUGUGUUUUCUGCCUUGUAGCCAUUCAUGCAGUAAUUGGUGAUGAACUAAAACCACAUCUCAGUCAACUCACUGGCAGUAAAAUGAAAUUAUUGAACCUUUACAUCAAACGUGCACAAACAGGCUCUGGACCAGGGGAUACAACAGCAGAUAUGUCUGGACAAAGCUAAUGAAGCUGACAAGAAUUAACCAGGUCUCCUAAAGCAGGGGCAAGGCCCUCUUCAGUGAAAGGAAAAUUCUCACAUACAACUUUUGGAAUGUUUUUCUUGAUUUUUUUUUUUUCCCUUUCUUUUGUUUUGUUUGUUUGGUUUUUUUCCUUAACCAACGGCUGUCCUCAGCCUGCAUGUGACUGUUGCAAUAGAAUUAUUCCAAAUCCAAGGAAAAACAGUAUUAACAUCAGUUGAUCAAAGCAGAAUAAAAUUUAAAAAUAAUCUAAUCCAUCAGUUAUCCUGUUCGCAAUCCUCUGUGUCUUCCCAUUAACUUUUGCCAGUGUUACUGUAUUUAAAAAAGAUUUUUUUUUAAUGCUAAUUAAAAAGGUAUGCUUUAAGCUUCAGAAGUUAAAAUAUAAAUUCUGUUGCUUUUAUUCAGCUGCAGAUAGCAUUACUUUUUUAUUGCUAUUUUGUUUGAGUAUCAUGUCCUUUGCUAGAAACAAGAAGUGAUGUGAACCAGGGCUGAACUAGUCUGAACUGCAGUGAGACUCGUUCGCUGUGGUGGUGGUUCAUCAUCUUAUUUACAGCUUGUUUGGGAUAUUCUGGAGAUUGAGAAAUAUGCCUAUAAAAAAAGCUGGAUUGAUCCAGUUCUGUAAAAGUGAUAUUGUUCAUUGGUUGUAUGUUUGUUGCAUAAAUAAGAAUUUAGUGUGCGCAGUAGAGGACUGGUACAACCAGUACCUCUUAAUGUGGAAGACAGCCCUUUCAGGGUAGCAUUGCUGACCUGGUGAUAGUGUGGCAGUCUGCUUUUUAGCAGCAGAGUUAAUGGUCACUUGAUGGACGUGAACCAUCCUUGUCACCUUUCGUUCUUCAAGCAGGAUGCUUCAGAAUGGAGUGCUCUGCCCAAGCAUGCUCACAAGCUAAUUAACUGAGAACUGGGAUGAAACAGUGCCCUUCCCAGGAAUGGUGGAACUUUUUUUUCCUGACUUUUUUUCCCUUUGACUGUGAUGUUGUCUAGUUGUAGGAAGUGUAUCCUGAUAAGAGAGAAAAUAGCGGUGCCAAGGAUGAUGAUCUAUGCUAGGCUAAAAUUCUCUCUACCUCUUCAGGGUGACUAAUUUUUGACUGAGCUGCUGCAUAUAGCACCCGGUGGAAGAACUAUCUACAGAAAAUAUUCCUUUUUUUUUUUUUUGUUCCCGAAUUACCACUUGAUGUCUAUUCAAAACUCUCUUCUUCAACAUUGCAGCCAAAUAUCAGAAGAAACUACUUACACACUUUACUUGCUAGGAACCCUGAAAAGCAGAACUGAACAAAAAUUAAGUCAGUUGCUUGUAGUUACAUGAAAGGUUGUUUUCACUUUAGUUUGAAGUGAAUCCAAUAGAAAGAGCUAAGAUGUGGUUGUUAAAGCAGCAAUGCCGUUUCAGAGAUUUAUUUGGAGGAAAAGUUGUAGAAAUAUAUAUAAAGACUUAAAACCAAGACUGUCAUAACUUGUCACUAGCCCUUUUUAGCAGCUACAUCAAGAAAAUAGUAUCUCCUCUUUCUUUCCUUUGUUAUGUGUAACAUCCUUGUUGUUUUCUACUGUUUAAUUACAUUGUGUAUUUAUAGUUCUAUGCUUACCAUUGUGCAUAUACUGGCAAUAAAAUGUACAUAACAUUACUUAAAAAAACAGCAAUGUAUACAUUCUGGUUUUCUGUUCUAUUUGAUCACAUGCGAUAAGAAAAAUUAUAAAUGUGAUUGAUACAACAUUGGUUAAAAAAAAAUAUCUUCAUGUUUUGUGUGUCAAAAUGAUGUUUAAAUACUCUUGUUACUAAAUCUGACUUGGCAUUUGAGAACAUGCUGUGAAUAUAGGUAAGCUAGGCAAAAAUGGGUUUUGGAAAUUGCAUAGAAUCUUUAUGAACACCCAGUUUCCUUCAUCUAGGCAGGUUUUGUGUUUACUAUUUCAUUUAUUUGUAUGUUAUAUAUUGUUUCCAUUUUAUUUUUUUAAUAUUUCAAAAAUAUUUUUUCAAGCUACAGUCUUGUAGUUUACAUUUUGAUUAUACAAAAGAUCACUUUAAAAAAAAAAAUAUGGCACAAAUUCUAAGCUUAAUAGUCCCAUAUGUUAUUCCUGCUUUUUCUACAGGUAAUACAUAUUUUCAGAGUAUCAUUUCAAGAUGACUGCUGUUUGUCAUCUUUUUGAAGAUGCUAUUUCAUACUGAAAAAAUAAGUUAUUGAAACAUACAGUAUAUAUACUGGAUGAACCUAAUGUGGGUUUUUUGUGUAAACAAAAGUUGGUAAGAAAGAAGUAGUUUUAUCCGCUAUAUGAAUGAAAGAUUUUGCUCUGGGUAGCAGGGGGGAAGAAAAUAUUUACACAAAGUUUGUCCCUCAGCUUUGCUUCUAAGCCAUGUUUAAAUGUUUUACGUGUGGAUUCCCAUAUAUUAAAAUCUAAAUGCAUAUAUUUAAAUUUAUAUUUUAGUUAUGAUAUGACUAGUUCUGUUUCCAACAAAGAUGGGGCUGCUAUAGCGAAUAGAAUCUAUUUAUAUUACACGGAGUCAUCAGAAUGUAAGAAUUGGCAACAAAAUUAUUUCCACUGCGGCCAGUUAUCAGAUUCACAGCACUGCUUUUUGCCUUCAUUUCCCAUAUGAUAAAUAGACAUUAGCUCAGUUAAAUUUGAGCAGUGAUUAGUCAUGCCUUACGUUCCUGCUGGAGGUGGCUUCUCUAACGGUUUAGCAUAAAGAUCUGGGGAAAAUCAGGACAAUUAAGACAAUUACAAGUUGCUGUUCUUUCAGAAAAGGUUUCUUUAUGUUCUUUGUAAUAUUCUGUAAAGAAUAGGACAUUGCAAUCAUUUGAAUACUGAAAUGUAAUUCUUAAAGGUUGGGUUUGAGCUUAAAAAAAGAGGAAGAAGGAAAGAAAGCUACAUGCAAAAAGUCAGGAUAGAAAAUGCAUGUCUUGGAUGUCUCGGACUUGGAUGUCAUUUGCUUUAAAGAAUUUUGAGUAACACAUUAUGUUCAGCUGAAGUCUUAGCCAGGAAGUUGGGUUAGUAAAUGUAAACUGAAAGGAGAGCUGAUCGUGUAAAUUUUCCUGAGUUGGGUUGCCUGUAUGUUUUUGAAGAUAAAGG